rnacentral:rRNA from 1 species
CAGUCGCCGCGGGAAUACGUAGGUGGCGAGCGUUGUCCGGAAUUAUUGGGCGUAAAGGGAGCGCAGGCGGACAUAUAAGUCCAUCUUAAAAGUGCGGGGCUCAACCCCGUGAGGGGAUGGAAACUGUAUGCCUUGAGUGCAGGAGAGGAAAGCGGAAUUCCCAGUGUAGCGGUGAAAUGCGUAGAUAUUGGGAGGAAGACCAGUGGCGAAGGCGAUUCUCUGGGCAAUUCCUGACAUUGAGGCACGAAGGCCAGGGGAGCAAACGGGAUUAGAUACCCGCGUAGUCCCUGUCUCUUAUACA